ACUCCUACGGGAGGCAGCAGUGGGGAAUAUUGCACAAUGGGCGCAAGCCUGAUGCAGCCAUGCCGCGUGUAUGAAGAAGGCCUUCGGGUUGUAAAGUACUUUCAGCAGUGAGGAAGGUGGGUAUGUUAAUAGCAUAUUCAUUUGACGUUAGCUGCAGAAGAAGCACCGGCUAACUCCGUGCCAGCAGCCGCGGUAAUACGGAGGGUGCGAGCGUUAAUCGGAAUUACUGGGCGUAAAGCGCAUGCAGGUGGUUUGUUAAGUCAGAUGUGAAAGCCCGGGGCUCAACCUCGGAAUUGCAUUUGAAACUGGCAAACUAGAGUACUGUAGAGGGGGUAGAAUUUCAGGUGUAGCGGUGAAAUGCGUAGAGAUCUGAAGGAAUACCGGUGGCGAAGGCGGCCCCUGGACAGAUACUGACACUCAGAUGCGAAAGCGUGGGAGCAAACAGGAUUAGAUACCCCUGGUAGCGACUGA
rnacentral:rRNA from 1 species